rnacentral:rRNA from 1 species
GCUAGUUACCAUCAUUGAGUCGGGGGACUCUAGCGAGACUGCCAGCGAUAAGCUGGAGGAAGGUGGGGAUGACGUCAAAUCAUCAUGCCCCUUAUGACCUGGGCUACAAACGUGAUACAAUGGCUGGAACAAAGGGAGGCGAAGGGGUGACCUGGAGCGAAACCCAAAAAUACAGUCUCAGUUCGGAUUGAAGUCUGCAACUCGACUUCAUGAAGUCGGAAUCGCUAGUAAUCGCGGAUCAGAACGCCGCGGUGAAUACGUUCUCGGGGUUU